rnacentral:rRNA from 1 species
ACGGAGGGUGCAAGCGUUACUCGGAAUCACUGGGCGUAAAGCGCGUGUAGGCGGCUCAGCAAGUUUGAUGUGAAAGCCCCUGGCUUAACCCGGGAAGUGCAUUGGAAACUGUAGGUCUUGAGUACUGGAGAGGAUGAGGGAAUUCCCGGUGUAGAGGUAAAAUUCGUAGAGAUCGGGAGGAAUAGCAGAGGCGAAGGCGCCCAGCUGGACGGUAACUGACGCUGAGACGCGAAAGCGUGGGGAGCAAAAAG